rnacentral:lncRNA from 1 species
AAAAAAAUGGUCUUGGAAAAGAGUAACCAAUGUAAUCUUCUAAAUGUAGACAGUGUAAAGUUAAGAGAAGAGAUAUCAUUUUGGCAGACAAAAACCUUACAACAACAAGAGGAAGCCAAUGCUCCAACAUUUAAAUUUAAAUUGAAAGAAGACGGAAGGGGAAGCCCCUACUCUUGCAAUGUUAGGGAAGCUGUUUACAGCUGUCUGCAGUUCAAUGUUUCACGAGAUAACAUUUCACCGC